rnacentral:other from 1 species
CCGUCCCUGCGGCGCGCGUGAUGCCUAAGGUGGUUCGAACCGACGCUUUUAACGAGCCGGAGCCCAACGGUAUGCGAUAGUGGCAGCCCCUAGUGGGAAUCGCGAGGCGCAGCCUAAGGCUCCAACCAUGAAUAUGGGGUUCGCGACCCCGGCGGCACACGGCGUUGCGGGGACUAU